AGUUAAGCCCCUCAUGAGUAGAGAGACCCUGCCUCGUCCAUCCUUGUGCCUCCAGGGUCUAGCCCCAUGCCUGCAUGGCCGCCAUUCCUGGACCUGGACUUGACAUCCUGUUCUGAGUUGCAGUAGUUGUUCCGUAGUUACAAAGCAGUGUGUGCACGGGGAGAGGGCAGUGGCAAGGGAGCACCUGCACAGGUGAGUCAGGAGGAGCCGCUGCAUGGGGCAGGUGGGGAAGGAGCAGAGGAGCACCUGGGCAAAGGCAAGGAAGGGCUGGAGAAUUAGACGUAGCCAAGGUUAUCUUGGGUGGGAGUUGGGAAUGUGCAGAGGGGCUGGCAGGGAUCUCGACGGAACACGUUGCCCUGUGGAGGGCCUUGAAUCUGCCGUGGGGCUGCAGCACGUCUUGAGGGCACUGGGAGCCACUGGAGAAUCCUAAGCUGAGGCAGGAGAAUCAUUAAGCAGGGGAGGUGCCUGACAAUCCACGUGCUUCGCCAGGGUAGGGAAACUGGGAGGCACUGCCAGAUGCAGGGGCCAGGGCAGAGGACAGAGCGGAGGCUGAGGGGGUCAGGUGGCACCUCCAGCCUUCUUCUGGGCUGGGUCUGCGCUGAGAGCUGCUUCCUGGAGGAGGAGAGAUCAGUAGGGCCUGGGCCCCUAGGCCAGCAUGUGGCUGCCCGGCCAGGAAAGUGCUACCAGAGAGGCACGGCCGGCUCCCUGUGGCUAUAGCCUCAGCUCAGCGGGAGAGCUGGGGUCAAGCCAAGACCCUAGCAGGGUCCAAAGAGGGCUCCACCAGGCCAGGCUGGGGAGGAGGGCUGCCUGGGGUGAUCACCCGUAGCCAUCACUAGGAGGCAGACGGGGGAUCGGCCCAAGAGGUCAUGGCCACAAAGAUGCUCCAAGGCUGGACUGUGGCGGCAAGUGUGGGGAACGAGGCUUCAGGGCAGAGCACUAAUGCUUCUUUCUGCUGCACGCGGCAGGGCACCAGGCCUCUCCAGGGAUGUGGACAUGGGGGCUGGACUCCCAGCUGCAGACCUGCUGUGGG
rnacentral:lncRNA from 10 species